rnacentral:rRNA from 1 species
UAGGGAAUCUUCCGCAAUGGGCGAAAGCCUGACGGAGCAACGCCGCGUGAGUGAUGAAGGUCUUCGGAUCGUAAAACUCUGUUAUUAGGGAAGAACAAAUGUGUAAGUAACUAUGCACGUCUUGACGGUACCUAAUCAGAAAGCGACGGCUAACUACGUGCCAGCAGCCGCGGUAAUACGUAGGUGGCAAGCGUUAUCCGGAAUUAUUGGGCGUAAAGCGCGCGUAGGCGGUUUUUUAAGUCUGAUGUGAAAGCCCACGGCUCAACCGUGUAGGGUCAUUGGAAACUGGAAAACUUGAGUGCAGAAGAGGAAAGUGGAGUUCCAUGUGUAGCGGUGAAAUGCGCAGAGAUAUGGAGGAACACCAGUGGCGAAGGCGACUUUCUGGUCUGUAACUGACGCUGAUGUGCGAAAGCGUGGGGAUCAAACAGG